rnacentral:rRNA from 1 species
AUGAACGCUAGCUACAGGCUUAACACAUGCAAGUCGAGGGGCAGCAUUUUAGUUUGCUUGCAAACUAAAGAUGGCGACCGGCGCACGGGUGAGUAACACGUAUCCAACCUGCCGAUAACUCGGGGAUAGCCUUUCGAAAGAAAGAUUAAUAUCCGAUAGUAUAUUAAAACCGCAUGGUUUUACUAUUAAAGAAUUUCGGUUAUCGAUGGGGAUGCGUUCCAUUAGUUUGUUGGCGGGGUAACGGCCCACCAAGACUACGAUGGAUAGGGGUUCUGAGAGGAAGGUCCCCCACAUUGGAACUGAGACACGGUCCAAACUCCUACGGGAGGCAGCAGUGAGGAAUAUUGGUCAAUGGACGAGAGUCUGAACCAGCCAAGUAGCGUGAAGGAUGACUGCCCUAUGGGUUGUAAACUUCUUUUAUAUGGGAAUAAAGUAUUCCACGUGUGGGAUUUUGUAUGUACCAUAUGAAUAAGGAUCGGCUAACUCCGUGCCAGCAGCCGCGGUAAUACGGAGGAUCCGAGCGUUAUCCGGAUUUAUUGGGUUUAAAGGGAGCGUAGGUGGAUUGUUAAGUCAGUUGUGAAAGUUUGCGGCUCAACCGUAAAAUUGCAGUUGAAACUGGCAGUCUUGAGUACAGUAGAGGUGGGCGGAAUUCGUGGUGUAGCGGUGAAAUGCUUAGAUAUCACGAAGAACUCCGAUUGCGAAGGCAGCUCACUAGACUGCAACUGACACUGAUGCUCGAAAGUGUGGGUAUCAAACAGGAUUAGAUACCCUGGUAGUCCACACAGUAAACGAUGAAUACUCGCUGUUUGCGAUAUACAGUAAGCGGCCAAGCGAAAGCAUUAAGUAUUCCACCUGGGGAGUACGCCGGCAACGGUGAAACUCAAAGGAAUUGACGGGGGCCCGCACAAGCGGAGGAACAUGUGGUUUAAUUCGAUGAUACGCGAGGAACCUUACCCGGGCUUAAAUUGCAUUUGAAUAAUCUGGAAACAGGUUAGCCGCAAGGCAAAUGUGAAGGUGCUGCAUGGUUGUCGUCAGCUCGUGCCGUGAGGUGUCGGCUUAAGUGCCAUAACGAGCGCAACCCUUAUCUUUAGUUACUAACAGGUGAUGCUGAGGACUCUAGAGAGACUGCCGUCGUAAGAUGUGAGGAAGGUGGGGAUGACGUCAAAUCAGCACGGCCCUUACGUCCGGGGCUACACACGUGUUACAAUGGGGGGUACAGAAGGCAGCUACCUGGCGACAGGAUGCUAAUCCCAAAAACCUCUCUCAGUUCGGAUCGAAGUCUGCAACCCGACUUCGUGAAGCUGGAUUCGCUAGUAAUCGCGCAUCAGCCAUGGCGCGGUGAAUACGUUCCCGGGCCUUGUACACACCGCCCGUCAAGCCAUGAAAGCCGGGGGUACCUGAAGUACGUAACCGCAAGGAGCGUCCUAGGGUAAAACUGGUAAUUGGGGCU